UACAGAGGGUGCGAGCGUUAAUCGGAAUUACUGGGCGUAAAGGGUGCGUAGGUGGUGAUGUAAGUUGGGUGUGAAAGCCCCGGGCUCAACCUGGGAACUGCAUUCAAACUGUGUCACUAGAGUAGAGUAGAGGGAAGUGGAAUUUCCGGUGUAGCGGUGAAAUGCGUAGAUAUCGGAAGGAACACCAGUGGCGAAGGCGG
rnacentral:rRNA from 1 species